GUGAAAGUCUAGCAAAAAAAAUCUACAUUCAUACACCCUGUCCCAGCUUCUUUGCCUGCAUUACUUGAAGCAGAACGUACCUUCUGGUAACUUCAAAGGCAAGCUGCAGGAGGGUGCAAACCAGUGAAGUGGGUGGUUGACUGGUAGUGUAGAGGUCUGGAUUCUGUUCUCCAUUUUUCAGUUUGACCUUCUGCCUGACCCUGGGACCUCUCUUUGUCCAUCUUGUCUAUUCACAUUGAUGGCUUUCACUCACUGCCUGUUGCUGGAUGCAUACUCCAGUCUGGUGUGCAAGUUCCUGAUCAAGUGAUGCAGAGCACAAAGGCAACUCUUGUUCACCCUUUUUCACCAGUUUCCACAUGCAUUUGACCACGUAUCUGCAUAAAACUGCCUUGAGGGCUUUGUGGCAGUGCGUGUUUGAUACAGAUGAAUUGCAAGGACCGGAUGUAACUUCUAGCUGAUUGUUUGAGGAGAGCAGGUCUCGCCUGCUGAGCUACUGUUUGAAGAUAUUUUUUAACAACUUUGAGCCAGCAAAGACAGUAAGUUCAAAGCCUCUUGUCCUGAGACAAUGGUUUUCCAAUGCAUGACUAUGCACCCUGAAAGUGGAAUUCCAAUCUCAAGAAAACCCAAUCUGAGGAAUGUCUGCCAGUAAAGCAGGCAUUCCAUAUUUUCUGUUAUGAGACACUCUGAUCCAGCCAUAUCAGAAUGUGCAGUGUCCUUUUAUAUACUUUUAAAAAGGGCCAUCUGGCCGUUCUGACCACAGAGCUGUCAGCAGCCAUCAUCCAAACAAAGUGAUUUUGCUUGUUUAUUGCUGUGACUUUGUGGCUUGUUUUGUUUUGUCCAUUUGUUUUCAUUGUGAAUUGCAGACCAAAGAAACUCGCCAUACUGUAGGUCCAAUUUCUGACAUUUUUUUAGCUGAUAAACAUGCAAGUCAAC
ensembl:lncRNA